AGAGAUACGAGCUUGAAACUCAAAGAAUUUGGCGGUGUUAUAUUCUUGUUAGAGGAAUCUGUCCCGUAAUUGAUAAUACACGAUUUGUUUUACUUUAUUUGAUAAUUUGUAUAUCGCCGUCAUAAGAUUAUUUUUUAUUGAGAAUUAAAAUUUUCUUCUUUUCUUAUUAGGAAAUAUGUCAGGUCAAGGUGCAGUUAAUAAUAAUGGGGAGAUGGAUUACAAUUAAUUUAUUAAUAUGGAUGUGAAUUGUAAGGAUAUAGUUGAAGGUGGAUUUGUUUGUAAAUUUAUAUAAUAUAUAUAUUGAUAUAAGCUCUGUAAUGUGUACAUAUCGCCCGUCGCUCUCGUUAUAAUAUGAG
rnacentral:rRNA from 1 species